CAGCAGCCGCGGUAAUACGAAGGGGGCUAGCGUUGUUCGGAUUUACUGGGCGUAAAGCGCACGUAGGCGGACUUUUAAGUCAGGGGUGAAAUCCCGGGGCUCAACCCCGGAACUGCUUUUGAUACUGGAAGUCUUGAGUAUGGUAGAGGUGAGUGGAAUUCCGAGUGUAGAGGUGAAAUUCGUAGAUAUUCGGAGGAACACCAGUGGCGAAGGCGGCUCACUGGACCAUUACUGACGCUGAGGUGCGAAAGCGUGGGGAGCAAACAGGAUUAGAUACCCGAGUAGUCCCUGUCUCUUAUAC
rnacentral:rRNA from 1 species